GAUGAAGAACGCAGCGAAAUGCGAUAAGUAAUGUGAAUUGCAGAAUUUAGUGAAUCAUCGAAUCUUUGAACGCACAUUGCGCCCGCCAGUAUUCUGGCGGGCAUGCCUGUUCGAGCGUCAUUACAACCCUCAGGCCCCCGGGCCUGGCGUUGGGGAUCGGCGGAAGCCCCCUGCGGGCACAACGCCGUCCCCCAAAUACAGUGGCGGUCCCGCCGCAGCUUCCAUUGCGUAGUAGCUAACACCUCGCAACUGGAGAGCGGCGCGGCCACGCCGUAAAACACCCAACUUCUGAAUGUUGACCUCGAAUCAGGUAGGAAUACCCGCUGAACUUAAGCAUAUCAAUAAGCGGAGGA
rnacentral:misc_RNA from 1 species